rnacentral:snRNA from 1 species
ACACUUACAAGGCGUAGGGGACACCGUGAUCACGAAGGCGGUUCCCCCAGAGCGAGGCUCCUCCAUUGCACUGCGGCGGGGUUGACCUCCGCCUCACGUCUAAAUGCGGAUAACUCGGACGCGUAAUUUUUGGUAUAC